rnacentral:rRNA from 1 species
GACAGAGGGGGCAAGCGUUGCUCGGAAUCACUGGGCGUAAAGGGCGCGUAGGCGGGAUGGCAAGUCGGGCGUGAAAUCUCUCGGCUCAACCGAGAAACGUCGGCCGAUACUGCCGUUCUUGAGGGAUGCAGAGGAGACUGGAAUUCCCGGUGUAGCGGUGAAAUGUGUAGAGAUCGGGAGGAACACCGGUGGCGAAGGCGGGUCUCUGGGCAUUUCCUGACGCUGAGGCGCGAAAGCGUGGGGAGCAAACGGG